AAAAGUGAAAGACGGUCUUGCUGUCACUUAUAGAUGGAUCCGCGCUGCAUUAGCUAGUUGGUAAGGUAACGGCUUACCAAGGCAACGAUGCAUAGCCGACCUGAGAGGGUGAUCGGCCACACUGGAACUGAGACACGGUCCAGACUCCUACGGGAGGCAGCAGUAGGGAAUCUUCCGCAAUGGGCGAAAGCCUGACGGAGCAACGCCGCGUGAGUGAUGAAGGUCUUCGGAUCGUAAAACUCUGUUAUUAGGGAAGAACAUAUGUGUAAGUAACUGUGCACAUCUUGACGGUACCUAAUCAGAAAGCCACGGCUAACUACGUGCCAGCAGCCGCGGUAAUACGUAGGUGGCAAGCGUUAUCCGGAAUUAUUGGGCGUAAAGCGCGCGUAGGCGGUUUUUUAAGUCUGAUGUGAAAGCCCACGGCUCAACCGUGG
rnacentral:rRNA from 1 species